UCUAUUGGUAAUGGCGAAUGAACAUAGAAAGACCGUCGUCGAAUCGUGCUGCGUUACGUAGCACGAGGUGUGAUGUUGUGGCAUUGUGUCCAGGGCCGAUUGAAGUGGUGUGAUUUCGAUUGAAACCGGUAAACCCAGGGAAGGUGAAAGGCCUGUUUCGGCCACUGUCUUGGUCUGAUUACAAUUGCGGAUGAGUAGAAUUGCUUGAGAUCGCAGUUCCAAUAUGUGUGACGAAUUCCACACAAGUCUCAGUAUUACUGCGAGACCGAUAGCGAACAAGUACCUUGAGGGAAAGUUGAAAAGCACUCUGAAAAGAGAGUUCAUAAGCGCGUGAAACUGCACAUUUUGAAGCGAAUGACUGGGUAAUGUUUGGGUGCGAUCUGGUGUGGCCCGUGCCUGGUGCCUGCGGUUUAGUGCAUCGGGGUUGUCUUGUGCUCUUCGUUGCCAUGUCUUUUCUGCAUUGAGCUCUAGCACGGAGUCAUGUAUCUGAUUGUGUCCUGAGCUGCUUGCUAACGUGACCAGACUGUUGGGUGCUGUCGAGAGGGAGUCUCCUUUGUGUGAUUCUUUGCUUAACGCGCCUGUAUUUACAGUGCUUUGCGCCGUGAUGCAAUGCAUGGUUAAUCUGGUCAGGUUAGUAUCGAAUCGCCUUGCUGAGUGUGUAUACGUGUUCUUCAUUUGGUAUCGCUUGUCGGUAAUGUAUGUUGUCGGCAAGUGAUGUCUAAUGUGUUCACCUACUCCAGCGUGGUAAGACCAAAGCAGCUGUUUGAUUGCACAGCAUUUGAACCGUCUUGAAACACGGACUAAGGAGUUCAACUUGGACGCGAGUCGUUUUUCCAGGAGGAUACUUGAGGCGUAGUGAAAUCGACUUAGUAUGUAGAGAUGUUAACUGAUUGGUACUUAACGUACUAGUGAUGGCAAGCACAUGUGAUGAGUAGCACAAUUGUUCUAGUUGCUGACUGCACCUGAGCGUUCAGGUUGAUACCCGAAAGAUGGUGAACUAUGCCUGAGUAGAAUGAAGCCAGGAGAAAUUCUGGUGGAAGUUUGUAGCGGUUUUGACGUGCAAAUCAAUCGCCAAACUUGGGUAUAGGGGCGAAAGACUAAUCGAACCAUCUAGUUGCUGGUUCCCUCCGAAGUUC
rnacentral:rRNA from 1 species